UACAGAGACCUCGAGCGUUAUCCGGAAUCAUUGGGCGUAAAGCGUACCGAUCGGUGGUAUUGCAAGUCAGAGGUGAAAUCCCAAGGCUCAACUUUGGGACUGUCCUUUGAAACUGCAAUGCUAGAGGGGCAAAGAGGAAGCUGGAACGAACGGUGUAGUAGUGAAAUGCGUUGAUAUCGUUCGGAACACCAAUAGCGAAGGCAGGCUUCUGGGUGCCACCUGACACUGCUAGGACGAAAGCGUGGGGAGCGAAUGGG
rnacentral:rRNA from 1 species